AGAAAGUGUACUUAAUAGAGUGUCAUGUUAAUUGUUGCAGAGUUAACCAAUUUCUCCAUUUAAUUGUCAAUUGAUUAACCUAUUGAAAUGGUAAGUGACUCAGUUUCCUUCCAGAACAAACAGCAGCUACAUAUUGUAGCUCCAUCCAGCUGGAGGGGGUACUCUGUGAUUUGCUCAGGCUCAGUGUGCUGGUAUUUUUCUACACCUCCCUGAGCUUUUAAUUAGAUGAGCCAAUUUUACAUGUAUUUGUCUGCUGGAAAGGUUAUCUGUGCUGGAGCUGACCUGCAGAGACAAGGUUGAGCCUAGCGGUCUUAAUAGAAAAGGUUUUCAGCUAUGACUGCCGUACUUGAUUGCAUUGUAAUGGAGGAAGAAUUCCCUCUACGCAGUUUCGUUGCCUUUCAUCCGAGGGAUACUCCACGCGACAGCACGUUUUAAGGCUUUAUCCUUACAGAGCUAUCCCGAAAGUGCACUUGUGCUCUACAAGGAAGAUUGCAACGUUCUCAAUUCAGUAUUUCCAAGUCGGGACCGGUUGAGUACAGCUACUUUCAUAGGAGGAAGAAUGGGGGAAGAAAGCAAGCGAGCAAUAUACCUCCACCAGGGAGCACAGUGGAGGCACAGGGCUUGUAGGAGACCUGUCACGAAGCUUGACUCCUUCUGCUCACACAGGUUUGGCAUUUAAGCUAAUUUGUAAGCAUUUAGGGCCUGACUCUGAUCUCCCUUUCACUACUUGCUGGAGCUGUCAAAGCACUUCCCAACAGAAAUAAGGUAGGGACCUUGCCAGCUGGAUUUGGCCCUUUCUCCGCUCUUUUGUCCUGGUGGAUUUGAGCAUAAGUAAUUCUGACAAAACAAGGAGCCCCACAUCCUAGCAUGGGUUGUGGU
rnacentral:lncRNA from 1 species